AACUUCUGAAUGUUGACCUCGGAUCAGGUA
rnacentral:rRNA from 1 species